GACGAACGCUGGCGGCGUGCUUAACACAUGCAAGUCGAACGGAAAGGCCCCUUUGGGGGUACUCGAGUGGCGAACGGGUGAGUAACACGUGAGUAACCUGCCCUUGACUUCGGGAUAACUUCAGGAAACUGGGGCUAAUACCGGAUAGGAAUCCUUGCUGCAUGGUGGGGGUUGGAAAGCUUCGGCGGUUUUGGAUGGACUCGCGGCUUAUCAGCUUGUUGGUGGGGUAGUGGCUUACCAAGGCUUUGACGGGUAGCCGGCCUGAGAGGGCGACCGGCCACAUUGGGACUGAGAUACGGCCCAGACUCCUACGGGAGGCAGCAGUGGGGAAUACUGCACAAUGGGCGGAAGCCUGAUGCAGCAACGCCGCGUGCGGGAUGACGGCCUUCGGGUUGUAAACCGCUUUCAGCAGGGGCGAAGCUUGUGGUGACGGUACCUGCAGAAGAAGCACCGGCUAACUACGUG
rnacentral:rRNA from 1 species